rnacentral:lncRNA from 1 species
AAAGGCAAUGGGCAAUAUGGAAUGACAUCAGCAAAGAAAUCCUAGGCCAUAUAGAAUGAUUGUGCCUGAAGAGCCAGAACCUAGACACUGGCCCUCACCUGUGAUUCUUGGGCCUGAGAUUACAUGGGGAAACUUCCGUGUUCAUGGUCAUUUGUUACUGCAGCGAAGAGACCCGUGCCACCCUGUCCUUCUCCAAGUCUGACCUGUGAUGCUACAACAUGGACAAACCUUGAGCAUGUAUGUAAGUGGGGGCAUACUGGUCUUAGACAAACACCACAAAAUUUCUCUCCCUGGAGCUUCUGGAAGUAGGCUCUGAAGAACAGAAUACAAAUGUGGCCUCAGGCUGUGGCAGGUAUGUGUAGCAGAGAGGUGACAAAGGGCCCGGGGCUUUGGAGGGCAGGUGGAGCUGCAGUGUUGCCCAGGUCUACAGUGUCUCGUAGCCCACAGGCUGAAGCAGGGGUGCUGGGAGAGUUUCCCCAGUUGUCUCUCUCUGGUGGCAAUAGCACCCAUAUUAUGACAACCUCCCAUGUCUUCUGUUUUGGCUUCCCCAGAGAUAGUCUUGGGGGCUCUGGGAGAGCUAGUAAGGCCUGCCCCAGGUCUGUCUUUGAGCCUUGAUGACCUCAGCUCCAGGCAGGGUUUUUUGUUUGUUUGAUUGUUUGUUUUGGGGGGGGGUUCAAUUUUUUAUUAUGUAUUUUCUUCAUUUACAUUUCAAAUGCUAUCCCGAAAGUUCCCUAUACCCUCCCCCCUCCCCAGCCCUGCUCCCCUACCCACCCACUCCCACUUCUUGGCCCUGGUGUUCCCCUGUACUGUGGCAUAUAAAAUUUGCAAGACAAAGGGGCCUCUCUUCCCAAUGAUGGCCAACUAGGCCAUCUUCUGAUACAUAUGCAGCUAGAGACACUAGCUCUGGGGGUACUGGUUAGUUCAUAUUUUUGUUCCACCUAUAGGGUUGCAGACCCCUUCAGCUUCUUGGAUACUUUCUCUAGCUCCUCCAUUAGGGGCCCUGUGUUCCAUCCAAUAGAUGACUGUGAGCAUCCACUUCUGUAUUUGCCAGGCACUGGAAUAGCUUCACACGAGACAGCUAUAUCAAGGUCCUUUCAGCAAAAUCUUGCUGGCAUGUGCAAUAGUGUCUGUGUUUGAUGACUAAUUAUGGGAUGGAUCUGUCUUUCCUUGGAGGCUGAGAACUGCAAACCUUGGAGGUGCAUGGUGGCUCGGUCCCUGGACAGUAGAGCAUGGCACUGAGAACUGCCCAGCAGGCCUGGCUCUGAGCUGCACCUGGGUAUCUUCAUUGUGGGUGCUGCUCCACGCCACCAGCCUUUCAACUCCACAGGGCAUCUCUUCUCUGGUUCUGCCUGUGGCUGUUCAGCAGGGAGGACAUUCAGGGACAGUGUAACAUCUGGCAGCCCAUACAGUCUCUGUGGAUGAGAGGCGAGCAGAUGGUUUGGCCUUUCCGAGCAGCACGUAGUACCACUCCUUGGAACUAGUACUCUUCCUCCUGGGAGAGAUGCCUGUCCGGUAGAUGCAGAUGGGAAGAUACAGAUGCAGAUGGGAAGAUACAGAUGCGAAGCUCAUUCUGUAGGGAGGUAAAGUGACCACAGUUAAGAAGAAACAUGGGCUCUAAAGAGAAUGCCUAGAGAAGAUGGGUUACAGAGUGUACACAUUCCAUGCUAUGCACAUGUCUGUGUGAAUGUGCUCACACGUGUAUGGGAUAGCAGUAAUGGGCACAGUGGCAGCUGUCAGCCCCAAAGCAUCGUUUUGACUAGCUGGCACUUCAGCAUCUGUCACAGAGACGGACAAAGAUCAGCAGUGGCUGGCACACUUCUUUGUGAAGCUGUUUCCCCUCCCUGUAAGUGUCCCUGACUAUGACAGAGCUGCUGUGUCUAAGGAUGGCUUUAUGACCCAGCAGUCCUCGGCUCCGUCCUGGGAGGAAGCCCAGUGCACUUUGUUCAGGAUGUUGGGUAGUUUGGUAAGCUGGCCCCUGCCUGUGGAGGCCACGUCUGUUAGCCAUCUGGAAUGGUGGCACAGGCGUGACACUCUGCGGCAGCCUCAGGGCCACACUGAGCUACGACUGCAGCUUCUGGCACUGUUUCUGUCAUAAAGGAGGAGACAACGGCUUCUGGUAAAUCCUGGCCACAGACAGCAGUGCAUGGUGGUGCUUGGGGCUCUGCUGAUCUGUCCUGUGAGCGGCAUGGUGUGUGUGUGUGUGUGUGUGUGUGUGUGUGUGUUGGGUUGGGGUCAGUGGAAUUCUCUAGGAAAACAGUUCUUCCUUCAGCCUCUUCAGGUCUCUGUUUCGUCAGGUCCACUUUCCCAUAAUCCAAUGAGGAGGCCAGGCUAUACUAUGCACAGUUUACAGAAUGGUUAACUUGUAGAUUUGAAUAGCAAAGGGACAGAGAUGGGAGCAGGUUGUCUUUCCACAGGGGCCUCGAGGUGGUCACCCUGUUUCCUGUGCUACCUGCUCUGACAGAGCAUCAGAGUUCUGGAAGCAUCCUUCACUUUCUUUCUUUCUUUCUUUCUUUCUUUCUUUCUUUCUUUCUUUCUUUCUUUCUUUCUUUCUUUCUUUCUUUCUUUUAUUUUUCUUUUUUUCUUUUUCUUUCUUUCUUUCUUUCUUUUUUUUUUUUUUUUGUUGUUGUUGUUGUUGUUUUUGAGACAGGGUUUCUCUUUAUAGCCCUGGCUGUCCUAGAACUCACUCUGUACACCAGGCUGGCCUCGAACUCAGAAAUCCGCCUUCCUCUGCCUCCUGAGUUCUGGGAUUAAAGGCGUGCGCCACCACGCCCGGCACCCUUCACUUUGUGAAGAACAUCCCAAGCCAUCCACCAUGUCUGCCCUGACAGUCAGAGCCCUGGUCUACAUACAAUCAGCAACUUUCCUCUCCAGCCGGCACCACCUCCUGUGUGAGAAGAGGCAGAGGGGGCUGAGCAGGGAGUCACAGCCACAUUUUAUGGAAGGAAAUCAGAAAAGAUAAACGACUCGAGCUUGUCGGGAUCCACUGAUAAGUAGAGAGUGGAAGAGUUGAGAAGAGCUUGGGUCCUCUGCUCUCAAGCUGUUCCCGCCAUUAGGGCACAUUGCCCUUCCUUCUCUGGUUUCCCAUGUACCAUUAAGAACACCUCUUCACCCACGGGGAUGGUGCCUGGCACACUGAAACCCAGGACCCCCAUGUUUUAUGUUCAGUGUGUGGCAUGGAGUCCCACAACUCUGCU